AACUUUCAACAACGGAUCUCUUGGUUCUGGCAUCGAUGAAGAACGCAGCGAAAUGCGAUAAGUAGUGUGAAUUGCAGAAUUCAGUGAAUCAUCGAAUCUUUGAACGCACAUUGCGCCCUUUGGCAUCCCGAAGGGCAUGCCUGUUCGAGCGUCAUUAUC
rnacentral:rRNA from 1 species